rnacentral:rRNA from 1 species
CCUACGGGGGGCAGCAGUGGGGAAUAUUGCACAAUGGGGGAAACCCUGAUGCAGCGACGCCGCGUGAGUGAAGAAGUAUUUCGGUAUGUAAAGCUCUAUCAGCAGGGAAGAAAAUGACGGUACCUGAGUAAGAAGCCCCGGCGAACGACGUGCCAGCAGCCGCGGUAAGACGGAGGGGGCAAGAGUUAUCCGGAUUUACGGGGUGUAAAGGGAGCGUAGACGGCAGCGCAAGUCUGAAGGGAAAUGCCGGGGCUUAACCCCGGAUCUGCUUUGGAAACUGUGCAGCUAGAGUGCAGGAGAGGUCAGUGGACUUCCUCUUGUAGCGGUGACCUGCGUCGCUAUUAGGAGGACCCCCAGUGGCGAAGGCGGCUUACUGGACUGUAACUGACGUUGCGGCUCGCCUGCGUGGGGAGCACACAGGAUUAGAUACCCGAGUAGUC